rnacentral:rRNA from 1 species
UACAGAGGUGGCAAGCGUUGUUCGGAAUUACUGGGCGUAAAGGGCGCGUAGGCGGUCUUGCAAGUCCUGUGUGAAAUCCCUCGGCUCAACUGAGGAACUGCACAGGAAACUGCUUGGCUUGAGUUCGGGAGAGGGAAGCGGAAUUCCGGGUGUAGCGGUGAAAUGCGUAGAUAUCGAGAGGAACACCUGCGGCGAAGGCGGGUUGCUGGGCUGACACUGACGCUGAGGCGCGAAAGCCAGGGGAGCGAACGGG